AACGCUGUACGAGACGUGAGUUAUUUAAUCGAACAUUUUAUUUGUAAUAAUCGCGUAGUAAAAGUUUAUAAUUGUUACAAAUUUUUGUCGGAAAUAUCGAUUAAAGUGAUAGACUAUUGCCGGAUCGUAUGAUAUAUUGCGGGUGUUCGCAGUUAACAGCGUAUACAGCAUCGAGUAGAUCGCUGCGUUUAAAAUUGAUUUUGCAACAAGGUUGGAAGCAGCUAAUGUAAAAUCUGCAACAAAUGAAGCAAUUAUUCUGGUGUGGUUCUGCAAUAAAGCUAUGAGCAGUCUAAUUGAAUCUGCAAUAAGUGAAACAAACUGCAACACUCUGGUAGCUCUCCCUUCUCCCCUUCUCAUCCUCUCUCUCUUUCUCUGCUGGUUUGCAACAGAUAUUGGUCGUUUACAGUAGCAGUUUACAGUAGCAGUUUACAGUAGCUACAAAACUUUGACAACACCGGCAACGAUAAACUUUGGUGCGUCUUUCACGUUUCGAACCGUCAGAUGAGUUCGGUUGUAAUUUCUGUUGUAACAAAAUACGCAUCGUCGAAGUGCCGUUUAAAGUAUCGCGUCGGGAGUGCCGUUUAAAGUAUCGCGUCGGGAGUGCCGUUUAAAGUGUCGCGUCGUUCGUAUUUGUAUAGUGCAUAUCUUCACGAAUGCGUGUGAGAGCAAGAUCACUGAGAAAAGGAGGAGGAGGAAAAAAUAUUGGACAACGUUUAGUAACGCUGUGAUAAACUCUGUGCGUAAUCAGUGCUACAAAAUAUAUUCGCUC